GAUUUUGAAAUUUAAGAAGUGGGAGGAGAUGAAGAGACUUUCCUAAGCACAAAUUUAAAAGUUAAGGGUUGAAAAGAUCUGACCAACGGGAUGCAAUCCAACAGACAAGAAUGUCAUAUAGAAACCCAUUUUCCUUUGGACUUUAAUCAAGCAAUAAUCAAUAAGCAAUGAACACUAUCCAGACAUCAUGAAGAUCAAGGCAUCAAAUAAAGAUGGACACAUCCAAGCAAGCAAUUUCCAUAGCUAGCAGUCUUCUUUAUCUUCGAAUGUACCAGAUGAAAU
rnacentral:lncRNA from 1 species